rnacentral:lncRNA from 1 species
AAUGUUUAGGUUAUACCCUACCAUUACAUAGGAGAUUCAGGACUUUUCAGGCUAAAGAGGGAAUCUUGAAGCUUCAGUAAAUCAUUAAAGAAUACAUUUAAUCGUAGGGAAUGGGUUAUACAUUCUGUUCUGGCACGGUUACUUUGAGUUUGUUUGGGUUCUUCAGUCUUCUUGCAUUGUUGUUCAAGGUGCCAAAUUAGCAUCAAUAAUAAGAAAACUCUUGCUUCAGUGUCUCUGUCUGCCCCCCACAGGUGAAUGGGAUACCCAUUACCUUAGAAGAAGAGAUGUACCUUUGUUUCCCUACUGAGUUUUGAUCAGAUAUGCACUUGGCCUGAAUGGUUUGAUUGCAGCAGAUGCACAUCCACAUCGCCAGAAGAUCAGCCAGAAAACAUUUAGCUCAUUUCUCCAUUAGUUCUGCCUUCCAGAAACUGCUAGCAAGAGGAUGUUUUCACACAGAAAACAGACCAUGAACAGAUUUACUGACUUAACUGGACUAGCCACAAGGUUGGAAUUAUGUAUGUGCUUCAGUAUCAUGCCAGCCCACAGUUUCAACAGAAACAACAGACAGCCUGUUCCACCUAGCACCAAGUGCAACCAUGCCUUCUGAAAGGGUUUGAUGUCAAACAACGUAUUCAUGAUUACUGUUCAUCUUUGUCCAAGAUGUGGCAGUCAGCUCACAUCCAACACUUAAGAGCAUCAUGACAAAUAGCUGUUUCUUGAAGUGUUUACUCAACACGGUUGAAAGGCUUUUUUCAGCCCUGGCUCAAUGGGAUUUCAGCCUUGAGCCAGAAACACUGUGAUCUUUGGGGGCUUACAAAGCAUGAGUGGCCUUACAAAAUCUAGG